AUAAGGGAAUAAAGUGAGUCUCGUGAGACUUUUUGCAUGUACCUUAUGAAUAGGACCGGCUAAUUCCGUGCCAGCAGCCGCGGUAAUACGGAAGGUCCGGGCGUUAUCCGGAUUUAUUGGGUUUAAAGGGAGCGUAGGCCGGAGAUUAAGCGUGUUGUGAAAUGUAGACGCUCAACGUCUGCACUGCAGCGCGAACUGGUUUCCUUGAGUACGCACAAAGUGGGCGGAAUUCGUGGUGUAGCGGUGAAAUGCUUAGAUAUCACGAAGAACUCCGAUUGCGAAGGCAGCUCACUGGAGCGCAACUGACGCUGAAGCUCGAAAGUGCGGGUAUCGAACAGGAUUAGAUACCCUGGUAGUCCGCACGGUAAACGAUGGAUGCCCGCUGUUGGUCUGAAUAGGUCAGCGGCCAAGCGAAAGCAUUAAGCAUCCCACCUGGGGAGUACGCCGGCAACGGUGCAACUCAAAUGAAUUGACGG
rnacentral:rRNA from 1 species